rnacentral:rRNA from 1 species
CAAGUCGAGCGAGGCGUGUAGCAAUACACAGUCGAGCGGCGAACGGGUGAGUAACACGUGGAUUAUCUGCCCUAAGGUGGGGGAUAACCCGGGGAAACUCGGGCUAAUACCGCAUAAUACCGAGAGGUCAAAGGGGGCUCGCAAGGGCUCUCGCCAAUGGAGGAGUCCGCGUCCGAUUAGCUAGUUGGUAGGGUAAUGGCCUACCAAGGCGACGAUCGGUAGCCGGCCUGAGAGGGUGAUCGGCCACACUGGAACUGAGACACGGUCCAGACUCCUACGGGAGGCAGCAGUGGGGAAUUUUGCGCAAUGGGCUAACGCCUGACGCAGCAACGCCGCGUGGAGGAUGAAGGUCUUUGGAUUGUAAACUCCUGUCAGCAGGGAAAAAGCGAUAGGUGCUCAUACCACCUAAAGUUGAUUGUACCUGCAGAGGAAGCCCCGGCUAACUCUGUGCCAGCAGCCGCGGUAAUACAGAGGGGGCAAGCGUUAUUCGGAAUUAUUGGGCGUAAAGGGCGCGUAGGCGGCCUGGCAAGUGAAAGGUGAAAUCCCUCGGCUUAACCGAGGAACUGCCUUUCAGACUGCUUGGCUUGAGACCGGGAGAGGUGAGUGGAAUUCCCAGUGUAGCGGUGAAAUGCGUAGAUAUUGGGAGGAACACCAGUGGCGAAGGCGGCUCACUGGACCGGUACUGACGCUGAGGCGCGAAAGCGUGGGGAGCAAACGGGAUUAGAUACCCCGGUAGUCCACGCCGUAAACGAUGAGUGCUUGGUGUAGCGGGUAUCGACCCCUGCUGUGCCGAAGUCAACACAUUAAGCACUCCGCCUGGGGAGUACGGUCGCAAGGCUGAAACUCAAAGGAAUUGACGGGGGCCCGCACAAGCGGUGGAGCAUGUGGUUUAAUUC